AGAGAGAACCCUACAGACAGACCAAAUAGAGAGAGAGAGAGCCCUAUAGACAGAAGGAGAAAUGAUCUAGUGAAUAAUUAGCUUUUAGCUGAUAUCUGCAUUGUAAAGCUGUACAGCGGGCAGGAAGUUAGCCAGGCAGGCCCUGGGCUAGGGGUGUAAAGUUCACCACACCUUAGCCAUUGUAGAGGUGGGUAGCAGCAUUCUCUCUGUGGAUCCCUCUCUUAGUCACAACAAGACAACAUCUAUUGAUCCUGUUCCUGAUCCGUGUUAGGAGGAGGAGUGGGUUCUGAGACUUCCAACUGAAAGGUAAGACCUCUGUUUCAUCUGAUGGGUUUUGAUUGGAUACAGGGCAUUGUAGUGUACCUCAGAUAGCUGAAUUCCAAGUGGUUGCUCAUGGUCAGUAAGCACUAUGCUAUCUUAUAAAGAACACACCCACCUUAUCCUGGACACACCCACCUUAUCCUGGACACACCCAUCUUAUCCUGGAUACACCCACUUUAUCCUGGCAAGUCCUACUAACUGCAUGUACACUACACAUAGCCUAUUGGAUGGAUAGUAACUCAGUAACUCACUGGAUGUAUAGGAACUCAGUAACUCACUGGAUGUAUAGUAACUCCCUGGAUGUAUAGUAACUCACUGGAUGUAUAGUAACUCAGUAACUCACUGGAUGUAUA
ensembl:lncRNA